rnacentral:rRNA from 1 species
GACGUAGGAGGCGAGCGUUGUCCGGAGUUACUGGGCGUAAAGCGUGCGCAGGCGGUUUUGUAAGUCAGAUGUGAAAUCCCCGGGCUUAACCUGGGAACUGCGUUUGAAACUACAAGGCUAGAGUGUGGCAGAGGGGGGUGGAAUUCCACGUGUAGCAGUGAAAUGCGUAGAUAUGCGGAGGAACACCGAUGGCGAAGGCAAUCCCCUGGACCUGUACUGACGCUCAUGCACGAAAGCGUGGGGAGCAAACGAGG